rnacentral:rRNA from 1 species
UACGUAGGGCGCAAGCGUUAUCCGGAAUUAUUGGGCGUAAAGAGCUCGUAGGCGGUUUGUCGCGUCUGCUGUGAAAACCCGAGGCUCAACCUCGGGCCUGCAGUGGGUACGGGCAGACUAGAGUGCGGUAGGGGAGAUUGGAAUUCCCGGUGUAGCGGUGAAAUGCGCAGAUAUCGGGAAGAACACCCGUGGCGAAGGCGGCUCUCUGGGACGGUACUGACGCUGAGACGCGAAAGCGUGGGGAGCGAACAGG